rnacentral:ncRNA from 1 species
CUUAGUCCUAACCUUACCGUUAAUUUUUGCUAAAUAUAUACAUGCAAGUAUCCGCGCCCCAGUGUAAAUGCCCUUGAAUCUCCCAUUAAGGAAAAAAGGAGCAGGUAUCAGGCACACCAAUUGUAGCCCAAGACGCCUUGCUUAGCCACACCCCCACGGGUACUCAGCAGUAAUUAACAUUAAGCAAUAAGUGAAAACUUGACUUAGUUAUAGCAAUUUAAGGGUUGGUAAAUCUUGUGCCAGCCACCGCGGUCACACAAGAGACCCAAAUUAACCUCAUGCGGCGUAAAGAGUGGCAUCAUGCUAUCACAACAACUAAGACCGAAGUGCAGUCAAGCUGUCAUAAGCUCAAAAUGUACCUAAGACCUUCCUCGAUCUUAGUGACCCUGAUUAAUUUAAUCCCACGAAAGCUAAGACACAAACUGGGAUUAGAUACCCCACUAUGCUUAGCCCUAAAUCUCGAUGCUUUUCCUAAUACUAAAGCAUCCGCCCGAGAACUACGAGCACAAACGCUUAAAACUCUAAGGACUUGGCGGUGCUCUAAACCCACCUAGAGGAGCCUGUUCUAUAAUCGAUAACCCACGUUAACACCCGACCGUCCCUUGCCAUAAAACAGCCUACAUACCGCCGUCGCCAGCUCACCUCCUCUGAGAGUUCAACAGCGAGCACAAUAGCCCAAACCCGCUAAUAAGACAGGUCGAGGUAUAGCCCACGGGACGGAAGAAAUGGGCUACAUUUUCUAACAGUAGACAAAUUCACGGAAGGGGGCAUGAAACUGCCCCCCGAAGGCGGAUUUAGCAGUAAAGGGGGACAAUAUAUGCCCCCUUUAAACUGGCCCUGGAGCACGUACAUACCGCCCGUCACCCUCCUCACAAGCUACAUUAUUCAUAAUACUUUAAUAUUAAUCCUGAGCUGAAGAUGAGGUAAGUCGUAACAAGGUAAGUGUACCGGAAGGUGUACUUAGCAUAC